CGCCGUUAGUGGAGGGAGCGGCCCUCAAAACGUGGUAGGUGACAGUUGAACGCUCAGGGGCUUUAGCACCUCUUAGAGAUUGCUUUAUUUUGAGGUGUUUCUUGACCAAGGGUUAGGCUGCAUAACCCCCCCAAAGUUCCCAUUGACUCCCAUGCAAAAAUGAUUUUUCCUAGCUUUUCGCCGACACUCAUUGUGGGAUUGUCGCGGUCACCAGCAGAAAGCCGAAGCAUUGCUGGCAAAAGGGGAGAGGAUAGCAUCGCUUUCGGUUUCCAACUGCUCCAACUGCUCCAGCUGAAAAACCUAAAGCCCCUGAGCGUUCAACUGUCACCUACCACGUUUUGAGGGCCGCUCCCUCCACUAACGGC
rnacentral:miRNA from 1 species